rnacentral:tRNA from 1 species
GCGGGGAACACAACUCAACAAAAUCAACGGUCUGCGUGGGCUUCCCAAGCUGAAUAUACGGGUUCGAUUCCCGUCGCCCGCUCCA